rnacentral:rRNA from 1 species
ACACACAUCAUGGUAAAAUAUUCAUCAGUACGAAUAAUAUGCUGACUAAAGUUUAUUAACACUAAAGGACAAAAAGACCCUCUGAAGCUUUAUAGGGAUAAAACUUGGGUAACAUUCUCAAUACAAAUAUUCUUAUUGCAUGCCAGCUAAAGUAGUAAAUUAUUGGUGGGAGUGCUCAUCCCGUAAAUUGGUUCGUGAGCUGGGUUCAAUACGAUGGCCUGUGUGAAAUUGUUNNNNNNNNNNNNNNNAACUUUUGACCAACUAAUAAGUGCAAAGAUACAUGUUUCGCUUAAUGGCCCAACAAGUCCUUCCCAGUACUUAAAUGCUAUCUUAAUGAGCUUUAAAUUAAUUUACCCGAGUUAAGCUACUCUACGGAUAACAGGCUUAAUUUCCGCAAUAUUAAAGGUCACAUUAUCACGAAAAAUGUACCUCGAUGUCGGCUUAUCAUCACUAAAAUAGGUAGCUUAAUUAUUGGUGGGAGUGCUCAUCCCGUAAAUUGGUUCGUG